rnacentral:rRNA from 1 species
UACGUAGGGCGCAAGCGUUGUCCGGAAUUAUUGGGCGUAAAGAGCUCGUAGGCGGUCUGUCGCGUCUGUUGUGAAAAACUCGAGGCUCAAACCUCGGGGCUUGCAGUGGAUACGGGGCAGAACUAGAGUGCGGGUAGGGAGACUGGAAUUCCUGGUGUAGGCGGUGGAAUGCGCAGAUAAUCAGGAAGAACACCAACGGCGAAGGCAGCUCGCUGGACGGAACUGACGCUAAGGCGCGAAGCGUGGGAGCGAACAGGA